rnacentral:rRNA from 1 species
UACGAAGGGGGCUAGCGUUGCUCGGAAUCACUGGGCGUAAAGGGUGCGUAGGCGGAUCUUUAAGUCAGAGGUGAAAUCCUGGAGCUCAACUCCAGAACUGCCUUUGAUACUGAGGAUCUUGAGUUCGGGAGAGGUGAGUGGAACUGCGAGUGUAGAGGUGAAAUUCGUAGAUAUUCGCAAGAACACCAGUGGCGAAGGCGGCUCACUGGCCCGAUACUGACGCUGAGGCACGAAAGCGUGGGGAGCAAACAGG